ensembl:lncRNA
AACUGGCCGGGCAGCUGCGCCGGGAACUAUUUGUGUCAGUCCCGGAGGGGCCGCGGAAGGCGUGGCAGAGGCAGUGCGCGCCCAGCCUGGGGCAGGCGGGGACCGCGACACAGAGGCGCUUUCAGGCCCUACCCGGGCUCGCGAGCCCCGCUCCCCUCGCCGGGGCCGCCCGGCUUUGUGCUGUUUAUACCCUGUCCUGCGGAAACCCGAAGACAGCGCUGUUCCGGGCGGCCCAGGCCCGGCGCCACCCUCGCUGGCACACAGUGGGCACGCGGCCCGGCGCUCCCGGGGACCGAGCCCCGGCUGGACUCUGCGGUGGGGCCCUCGGUCGUGGGCUGCUGGUGACUCCAGGACCUCGGGCCCCAGUGCAGGGACACAGGGAGGGCCCCUCCCUACAGAAAGGAGGGAAGGGCGGUGCAGGACGCAGCCAUGCCCACAAAAGGUGGCCUGCGAGACAGUGACAGAGGCGGGGACAUCAGGCAGGAGCAGGAUAAGGUUCAAGCCUGCAAUGGAAGGAGUACGUUUGCAGGUUCGCUGACUCCCGUCACGGAAACAGUGUUCAGGUUUGUUAGAGAUGGAGAUGCAGGAUGCGCUGAAGAGCAGAGCGCAGACUGAGCAGUGAAGCAGUUUUUAUUUCUUCUGUCCUACAUCAUUACCACCAAAAACUAGAAGAAGAAGGAGGGGCAGGGGGUUAAGAAAGGAGGGGAAAUGAAGUCCUCAUCCAGCCAGUGUCCCUGUGGCAUCCUCUACAAAGUACUACUAAUGACAGAGGUGGGAGCUUCGAGGGCAAAUGAGACAGCAUGGAAGAACCACUUACUCAGGAGAGGCAGUACUGAUACCCUGAGAAACCAGUCAGGAAACUGAGGCAGGAGAAGUUAAGGCAGAGGUUCAACUGGACACCACCCAGGCAGCUUGGCUCCGGAACCUGCUCUGAGCCUGCGCCAUCACAGAACGGGUCCAUCAGUGACCACAGUCGGGGGAGACCAGGAGGAAGGGGACUGAAGCUGGGGUGGCUGUCCUGGGGAGCAGCCCCAUCUGUAACGGUGCCCUCUGGCCCAGGGCCCACUCUGUAGCUGAUAAAAUUGUUUUAUGGGUCGUUUUUAAUUACAGCCCUCAAGCCAGACAUUUAUGACAAUCAAUCAUCACCUUGCUCCAGAAGGCCCAGGCGUGUGUAGUUUCCCGCCUUCUUCCAUCGUGUCUGUUGCUUGUCCUUGUGGGCAGCC